rnacentral:rRNA from 1 species
GACGAACGCUGGCGGCGUGCUUAACACAUGCAAGUCGAACGGAAAGGCCCUGCUUUUGUGGGGUGCUCGAGUGGCGAACGGGUGAGUAACACGUGAGUAACCUGCCCUUGACUUUGGGAUAACUUCAGGCAACUGGGGCUAAUACCGGAUAGGAGCUCCUGCUGCAUGGUGGGGGUUGGAAAGUUUCGGCGGUUGGGGAUGGACUCGCGGCUUAUCAGCUUGUUGGUGGGGUAGUGGCUUACCAAGGCUUUGACGGGUAGCCGGCCUGGGAGGGUGACCGGCCACAUUGGGACUGAGAUACGGCCCAGACUCCUACGGGAGGCAGCAGUGGGGAAUAUUGCACAAUGGGCGGAAGCCUGAUGCAGCAACGCCGCGUGCGGGAUGACGGCCUUCGGGUUGUAAACCGCUUUCGCCUUUGACGAAGCGUGAGUGACGGUAAUGGGUAAAGAAGCACCGGCUAACUACGUG